rnacentral:lncRNA from 1 species
CCUCGGCAGGGCUGGCUCCUCGCCUCUCCACGCCAGGCUGUUCACGUCCCUUCCGUUCCCAAGUGCUUGUGUGCUCACUCACUUGCACCGUCCUGCAGUGGCCCACGAGGCAGGCCAGCGUGUGUAUUAGGGAGCGCUCCCUGGGAAUGUGACUUUCCCAAGGUCACCUGGAUAGGCUGUCUCCUCCUCUGAGGUCCCCACCUCCAAACCCCACUUUCCCCACAUGUGGCCUGAACAGACCAUCACAAAGCUUUAGAGGCUUCUUCCGAGGACACCAGGCAUUGGCUCUGGGUCAGUGGAGCUUCCAGAACCUUGGAAUUCUGCCCUGGGCCACGUGUCUGGAACUUGCCCAUCUCCUGGUGGUUGGCAGAUCUGAUGCAGGCCUGAGAACGUCUUCACACGGUGGAGGAGGCUUUUGGGGUGACUGACCACUGGGCUGGACAUUGCCCCAGGUGUGGUUCCCGUGGAAGUGGUGAGUCACAGCCGUGGUUGCUGGCCUGCUGCUGUACCCAUCUGCCUGUCUGCAGGCGUCUCACUUCCUCCUGAGAUGGAGAGAGACAAGGGCCCUGGGUGCUGGGGCACCAGCUGCUUCGGCCCUGCCUGGUUACUUCAUCUUCCUCAACUCACUUUGCUGUUCACCACCCAUCACCGUUACCACCUGGAAUCACCCGGAGAAGAGUGGAAGGAAACGUGAAAAGUAUGUGUGUCAUCACGUCAGGCUCUGGGGCUGCCCAGAUUUGCCCUGAGCUAACGUCUGUUGCCAAUCUUCCUGUAUUUCGUUUGUGAGCUGCUGUCGCAGCAUGACCACUGACAGAGGAGUGGUGUAGAUCUUUGCCCAGGACCUGAACCUGGGCCACCGAAGUGGAG